ensembl:lncRNA
CUUUUGGAAGGAUGGAGAUUCCUCUGAAAUGAUUGCUUCAUGCAGCUGCUACCAACAAAUAGAGCAGCUAUUUUAACAGCAAACAGCAUGCAAACUGGCAGUCUGAAACAGGACAUCACCUGUGUCCUGUUGAAACUGCUACUUGGCAGCCAGGAGGUGGAUUCCUGUGUAAUAGUUUUGACAGUGCUGUGGAAAUGACACAAAUCCUUAGAGCCAUUGGCAGCUUUGAGGCCUAGACUGUGGGUGCUGGUUUCUUGCAGAUAAAUAUCUUGAUGCUGAAAAGACAUUUAGAAACAAAUGCUGAAGUCGAUCUGUGUGCACUCAGAGGACUCCUGUUGUGCACAUCUCACCAAGAAACAGAAAGUCCUGGCAAAGCAUCAACAGAAAGACAAUGUGAUGACGUACUGUACUUUGGAAAAUCAGAAUCUAGAUGUUGGAAGACAGCGUUUUAGACUCAGUCACUUAAUUGCUAUUUUACUCAGAAUUGAUGGGUGUGGAGGAAUCACAAGCUGUCUUGGAAGAUUCCCAUUGCUCCAUCACCUGAAUCAAUAUGACAGAUAGGAUGCCAACAAUUUAUGAUCCAGCAAGGAGGGGCACAUCUGUGCUAUAAACUGCCCUUCAGUGUCCUUUCUGCAGUUCUGGUUCAGUGGGAGGUACCGAGAGGACAAUUUUCAUCACUCAGAAAAGACGUUUUGACUCCUUCUUGAAUUAAAGUGAAGAUUUGUAGCCUCUGUUCAGUGAAGUGGAGAAGCAUCCUUUUCCAAACCCUCCUUCUCUUCCUCCUGUGGGAGGAACAAGGUUUGGACUUCAACUAUUGCAGUGAGGGUGUAGGUAGCAAAACCACCCUCUUCUCUAUUGCCCCUCUGAAGGGGCAUGAAUGAUCAGAUGGCACAGCUGUCCUACCCCUCCGGUGCAGAGGAGAUGAGUAAGGUCAGAGAGAGGUGUGAGGUCAGGCCUCAGCUGUCCUGAGGAGCUGAGAGCAGCCCUGGUUGGUUGGAGGUGAUGGAGAACCUCCUUAGCGCUUCCCUCAUACUGAUAUUUAUUUCCUCACAAAAAAGAGGUGGUCAGUUUAUUGCUAAGAAAUUAAGGCUCUCAAGAAAAAGAUCACAAGUUGAAGAUGGGAAUUCGGUGUUUUUUUUUUAAGUAUCCUCUUUGGAGGUUUCCUUAGCCUGACUGCGGCUGUGGUUAGCAAGCAGAGUGCUUGGCAUUCAGGGAAGGAGGGAUGGGCUCCUUGGGCAAGACGUGUAUGUGCUCGUAGUAUAUUUAGUGUACCACGUAACUAAGGUGAUGACUUUAUUCCUCCUUCCCAAAGAACUCCAAAAGCUGUGACUGAGUAGAGCUGCACCAGUGCCAGACCCAGCACUGGGCCUUCCCCAGCAAUGGCAGCUGCUCUGCCUCUGAGCAGGGACACCGCUCUCCCAAGAGAGACUUGCUUCCCAGAUUGGAGAAACAGCCAGUGCUCCCACGUAAAUCAGAGCUCCUUUCAUGCCUUCAAAUUGCAGACCCCGAACUGAAGGAUCCGAGCCAUUAAUAUCGUUCUUUGUUGUUGUUUUUAAUGAGAUCAUGUGAGACUGUGUU